rnacentral:rRNA from 1 species
UCCAGACUCCUACGGGAGGCAGCAGUGGGGGAUAUUGCACAAUGGGGGGAACCCUGAUGCAGCGACGCCGCGUGGGUGAAGGAGCGUUUCGGCGCGUAAAGCCCUAUCGGCAGGGAAGAAGGAGGACGGUACCUGACUAAGAAGCCCCGGCUAACUACGUGCCAGCAGCCGCGGUAAUACGUAGGGGGCAAGCGUUAUCCGGAUUUACUGGGUGUAAAGGGGGCGCAGACGGCAGCGCAAGCCAGGAGUGAAAGCCCGGGGCCCAACCCCGGGACUGCUCUUGGAACUGCGCGGCUGGAGUGCAGGAGGGGCAGGCGGAAUUCCUGGUGUAGCGGUGAAAUGCGUAGAUAUCAGGAGGAACACCGGUGGCGAAGGCGGCCUGCUGGACUGUACCUGACGCUGAGGCGCGAAAGCGUGGGUAGCGAACGGGAUUAGAUACCCGGGUA